rnacentral:rRNA from 1 species
AGAGUUUGAUUCUGGCUCAGGACGAACGCUGGCGGCGUGCUUAACACAUGCAAGUCGAACGAUGAAGCCUAGCUUGCUAGGUGGAUUAGUGGCGAACGGGUGAGUAAUACGUGAGUAACCUACCUUUAACUCUGGGAUAAGCCUGGGAAACUGGGUCUAAUACCGGAUACGACCAAUCUCCGCAUGGGGUGUUGGUGGAAAGCGUUAUGUAGUGGUUAUAGAUGGGCUCACGGCCUAUCAGCUUGUUGGUGAGGUAACGGCUCACCAAGGCGACGACGGGUAGCCGGCCUGAGAGGGUGACCGGCCACACUGGGACUGAGACACGGCCCAGACUCCUACGGGAGGCAGCAGUGGGGAAUAUUGCACAAUGGGCGCAAGCCUGAUGCAGCGACGCCGCGUGAGGGAUGACGGCCUUCGGGUUGUAAACCUCUGUUAGCAGGGAAGAAGAGAAAUUGACGGUACCUGCAGAGAAAGCGCCGGCUAACUACGUGCCAGCAGCCGCGGUAAUACGUAGGGCGCGAGCGUUGUCCGGAAUUAUUGGGCGUAAAGAGCUUGUAGGCGGUUUGUCGCGUCUGCUGUGAAAGGCCGGGGCUUAACCCCGUGUAUUGCAGUGGGUACGGGCAGACUAGAGUGCAGUAGGGGAGACUGGAAUUCCUGGUGUAGCGGUGGAAUGCGCAGAUAUCAGGAGGAACACCGAUGGCGAAGGCAGGUCUCUGGGCUGUAACUGACGCUGAGAAGCGAAAGCAUGGGGAGCGAACAGGAUUAGAUACCCUGGUAGUCCAUGCCGUAAACGUUGGGCACUAGGUGUGGGGGACAUUCCACGUUUUCCGCGCCGUAGCUAACGCAUUAAGUGCCCCGCCUGGGGAGUACGGCCGCAAGGCUA